AAGCGCACGCAGGCGGUUUGUUAAGUCGGAUGUGAAAUCCCCGCGCUUAACCUGGGAACUGCAUUUGAAACUGGCCAGCUAGAGUCUUGUAGAGGGGGGUAGAAUUCCAGGUGUAGCGGUGAAAUGCGUAGAGAUCUGGAGGAAUACCGGUGGCGAAGGCGGCCCCCUGGACAAAGACUGACGCUCAGGUGCGAAAGCGUGGGGAGCAAACAGGAUUAGAUACCCUGGUAGUCCACGCUGUAAACGAUGUCGACUUGGAGGUUGUGCCCUUGAGGCGUGGCUUCCGGAGCUAACGCGUUAAAUCGACCGCCUGGGGAGUACGGCCGCAAGGUUAAAACUCAAAUGAAUUGACGGGGGCCCGCACAAGCGGUGGAGCAUGUGGUUUAAUUCGAUGCAACGCGAAGAACCUUACCUAGUCUUGACAUCCAGAGAAUUUGCUAGAGAUAGCUUAGUGCCUUCGGGAACUCUGAGACAGGUGCUGCAUGGCUGUCGUCAGCUCGUGUUGUGAAAUGUUGGGUUAAGUCCCGCAACGAGCGCAACCCUUAUCCUUUGUUGCCAGCACGUAAUGGUGGGAACUCAAAGGAGACUGCCGGUGACAAACCGGAGGAAGGUGGGGAUGACGUCUAGUCAUCAUGGCCCUUACGAGUAGGGCUACACACGUGCUACAAUGGCGUAUACAGAGAGAAGCGAACUCGCGAGAGC
rnacentral:rRNA from 1 species